rnacentral:rRNA from 1 species
UACGGAGGGAGCUAGCGUUGUUCGGAAUUACUGGGCGUAAAGCGCGCGUAGGCGGCUUUGUAAGUUAGAGGUGAAAGCCCGGGGCUCAACCCCGGAACUGCCCUUAAGACUGCAUCGCUUGAAUCCGGGAGAGGUGAGUGGAAUUCCGAGUGUAGAGGUGAAAUUCGUAGAUAUUCGGAAGAACACCAGUGGCGAAGGCGGCUCACUGGACCGGCAUUGACGCUGAGGUGCGAAAGCGUGGGGAGCAAACAGG